GACGAACGCUGGCGGCGUGCUUAACACAUGCAAGUCGAACGGAAAGGCCCUGCUUUUGUGGGGUGCUCGAGUGGCGAACGGGGGAGUAACACGUGAGUAACCCGCCCUUGACUUUGGGAUAACUUCAGGAAACUGGGGCUAAUACCGGGUAGGAGAUCCUGCUGCAUGGGGGGGGAUGGAAAGUUUCGGCGGUUGGGGAUGGACUAGAUGGUUACGAGCUUGUUGGUGGAGUAGGGGCUGACCAAGGCUUUGACGGGUAGCCGGCAUGGGAGGGUGGACGGCCACAUUGCGCCUGAGGUACGGACCAGAAUCCAACGGGAGGCAGCAGUGGGGAAUAUUACACAACGGGGGGGAGCGUGAUGCAGCAACGCCGCGUGCGGAAUACCGGCCUUCGGGUUGUGAACCGCUUUGGAAUGUACCGAAGAGUGAGUGACGGUAAUGGGUAAAGAAGCACCGGCUAACUACGUA
rnacentral:rRNA from 1 species